rnacentral:rRNA from 1 species
AGACGUCUACAUUAGAUACCCGUGUAGUCCCAGCCGUAAACUAUGCGCGUUAGGUGUAUCGGUGACCACGAGUCACCGAGGUGCCGAAGGGAAACCGUGAAACGUGCCGCCUGGGAAGUACGGUCGCAAGGCUGAAACUUAAAGGAAUUGCGGGGAGCACCACAACGGGUGGAGCCUGCGGUUUAAUUGGACUCAACGCCGGGAAGCUCACCGGAUAGGACAGCAGAAUGAUUGCCGGGCUGAAGACCCUGCAUGACUAGCUG